rnacentral:rRNA from 1 species
GACAGAGGGGGCAAGCGUUGCUCGGAAUCACUGGGCGUAAAGGGCGCGUAGGCGGCCACCGCAAGUCGACUGUGAAAUCUCCGGGCUUAACCCGGAACGGUCAGCCGAUACUGCGGGGCUAGAGUGCAGAAGGGGCAACUGGAAUUCUCGGUGUAGCGGUGAAAUGCGUAGAUAUCGAGAGGAACACCUGCGGCGAAGGCGGGUUGCUGGGCUGACACUGACGCUGAUGCGCGAAAGCUAGGGGAGCGAACGGG